UGCGUAGGUGGCUCCUUAAGUAAAGUGUUAAAGCCUUGGGCUCAACCCAAGAAUCGCGCUUUAAACUGGGGAGCUAGAGUAUGGGAGAGGAAAGUGGAAUUCCUAGUGUAGAGGUGAAAUUCGUAGAUAUUAGGAGGAACACCAGAGGCGAAGGCGGCUUUCUGGACCAUAACUGACACUGAGGCACGAAAGCGUGGGGAGCAAACA
rnacentral:rRNA from 1 species